GACGAACACUGGCGGCGUGCUUAACACAUGCAAGUCGAACGAAGUGGCGAACGGGUGAGUAACGCGUAAUCAACCUGCCCUUCAGAGGGGGACAACAGUUGGAAACGACUGCUAAUACCGCAUACAGAAGGCGGGGAUUGCGUCGGAUUAGCUAGUUGGAGGGGUAACGGCCCACCAAGGCGAGGAUCAGUAGCCGGUCGUAUGGGAUGAACGGCCGCAUUGGGACUCAGACACGGCCCAGACGCCUACGGGAGGCAGCAGUGGGGAAUCUUCCGCAAUGGACGAAAGUCUGACGGAGAAACGCCGCGUGAGUGAUGACGGCCUUCGGGUUGUAAAGCUCUGUUAAUCGGGACGCGGUACCGGAAUAGAAAGCCACGGCUAACUACGUGCCAGCAGCCGCGGUAAUAC
rnacentral:rRNA from 1 species